rnacentral:tRNA from 1 species
GUGCCUAUAGCUCAGCUGGGAGAGCGUACGGUUCGCAUCCGUAAGGUCGUCGGUUCGAUCCCGAUUAGGUCCACCA